GUGGACUGGCACUCAAAAUAUAACGGUUUUGUAUGAUGGGAAUUUUGUCCAGUGGAUUAUUUUUCUUUGUUGGAACAUUACAACCUCUAUUACAACCUUUGAUCACACAGUUACCUGGGUCAUAACAUCAACAAAUGUCUGAAUAUUAGGAGAACCAAAUAUAUAGGACUUCUUGUGAACUUCAAAUCCAUCAUGUGACCUUUUUUGACCUGAUGCUACUUCUUUUGGUAAUGGCUGCAGAUAGAAUAAACAUAAA